rnacentral:rRNA from 1 species
UCUACGGAGGCAGCAUGUGAGAAUCUGGACAAUGGCGCAACCUGAUCCAGCCAUGCCGCGUGAGUGAAGAAGGCUUCGCGUUGUAAAGCUCUUCGCAAGAGAAGAAAUCGGUGCGCUAAUAUCCCCACCGGAUGAC